GGCCAUGUUGUGCGGGGGGAGGGGAGCAAGGAGUUGAGAGGAGACGGCGGAGGCUCCCUCACACACACGGCACAAGAUGGCCGGGGAGCAGCCGCAGCUCCCGCCCGUCUCCCGGCGCUGUCCCCGCCGCUCGCACCGGAGACGCCCGGCGGGCGCCCUCGGUGCCGCUCCCGGGCGCCAAAUCGGGCCCGGCGCUCUGUGGGCUCCGGGGCUUCGGAGGGCGGCGAGCCGGGCUGCCGAGCGGGGCUGCCGACGGUCGGGCAGCAAUGGCGCCGGGCUGCCGAGCGCUGCCCGCGCCGCUCCCUCGCCGGGCGGGCGCGGGGCUGCCCUUGACCGCGGGCAGGGAGAGCCGGGAGCAGCGCCCCGUCCUCGGGGCCCCGGGUGCCUGUCAGCGGGCUGCUCUUCGCCGGGUAGGAUUUCGUGAGCAGAACCUUAUUUCCUGACUACCUUCCAGAGGAUUCAUUCAUGCCUUAUUUUUCUUAGGGCUAUUACUGGAUAUUGUUCUUCCAAAGGUUCAGAUGACUAGUUGGGCAAAAGACCUUGAACAAAAUUCUGUACUGUGCGUGCCAGAUGUGUUGAGGAAUUGAUUUACUCACUGUAAGCAAAGUAGCUGCUCUUGGUUGAAGCACUGAAUCCAUUCAGAUGAAGAGUGUCAAAAGGAGUCUACGAAUGAGACACCAAGAUGGCAGUUCCACUGGGGAAUGAGAGGUUGAGGAAAUGGACUAAUGCAUGAGUGCUGGGAUGUCUGUCCAAGACAAGGAUGUUAAAACGUGGACUCUCAUGUUAUUAAAUCAGAGAAGAUCUGGGUUGUGAUCAUCCUAUCAAAAUGGACUUUGCAUUUGAAUUAAUCAGUGGCUAUCCAAUGAUGGAUCUGUUUGAGGACUGGGUGGCAAAAUUUUCCUUUUGGGUUGUUUUUGCAUGACAGGCAAAUUAAUUUGGUAAAAGAUCUGUUGCUACUGCUUUUGAGAAAAUGUAAUUUAUAAAGUGACUUUAAAUAAAAGGUUUUGGUUUAUUUCA